rnacentral:rRNA from 1 species
AGAAUCAACGCUGACGGCGUGCCUAACACAUGCAAGUCGAACGAGAAAGUGGAGCAAUCCAUGAGUAAAGUGGCGACCGGGUGAGUAACACGUGACUAACCUACCUUCGAGUGGGGGAUAACCUCGGGAAACCGAGGCUAAUACCGCAUAACAUCGUGAGAUCAAAGCAGUAAUGCGCUGGAAGAGGGGGUCGCGGCUGAUUAGCUAGUUGGCGGGGUAAUGGCCCACCAAGGCGAAGAUCGGUA